rnacentral:rRNA from 1 species
GCAGUGUUGUCGUCAGCUCGUGUCGUGAGAUGUUGGGUUAAGUCCCGCAACGAGCGCAACCCCUGUCCUAUGUUGCCAGCAUUCAGUUGGGGACUCUGGAGAGACUGCCGGUGACAAACCGGAGGAAGGUGGGAUGACGUCAAAUCAUCAUGCCCCUUAUGACCUGGGCUACACACGUACUACAAUGGCGUAUACAACGGGAAGCGAAAUGGUGACAUGGAGCAAAUCUCACAAAGUACGUCUCAGUUCGGAUUGAAGUCUGCAACUCGACUUCAUGAAGUCGGAAUCGCUAGUAAUCGCGGAUCAGCAUGCCGCGGUGAAUACGUUCUCGGGCCUU